rnacentral:lncRNA from 1 species
CAGAAAUCUGAAAAGAGCUUCACAGUUAUCUAAAGUGCAGAUUUAUCACUUCUGGCAACUGGAGAACAAAUGGGAAAAUUUGCUCUGAUUUUCCACUGGACUCGUUUUCAGAUCCUGCAGAAAUUGAUUGAUAUAAUCUACUGAAAGGAUUGUUUCAGUCUAAAACAAUAAGAGAUCCUCAUCAGUAUCUCCCUGAGCUGCACCCUCCAGAGAUAAAUCUGCUCGGUGUGCUCCUGUGGACUGCUCCAAAGUGGCAGGACCCGCAGCAGCAGAGCAGAAACGCUCCCCAACACCUCGUCCUGCUCCUCCGUGCGCUCUGCUUAGGCUCUGCCAUUUUGCAGCCAUGCAUCAUAUCUGUCUGCAGCUCACAUGUGCAUGAUCUCCAUGGCGACUUGGGCACUCGAGGUAGAAAUAUGAGCUGCAUCAUCUCCCCCUGUUGUCCAUCGACAUAAAAUGCAGUGUUCUGGAACAUGAGAAAGGCAAUACGUUUCCUCCAGUUCUUUGUAAGCUGAUAUGAAGUAGACAGACACCUUCUGAAGUUUUGUGCAUGCUGUGCUCUUUUUUUCUUUGCUGCAACAAGAAAAGCCUUUUCUUUUAACCUGGCUUCCUUUGAA